CCUACGGGAGGCUGCAGUGGGGAAUAUUGCACAAUGGGCGCAAGCCUGAUGCAGCCAUGCCGCGUGUGCGAAGAAGGCCUUCGGGUUGUAAAGCACUUUCAGCGGGGAGGAAGGCGGUGAGGUUAAUAACCUCAUCGAUUGACGUUACCCGCAGAAGAAGCACCGGCUAACUCCGUGCCAGCAGCCGCGGUAAUACGGAGGGUGCAAGCGUUAAUCGGAAUUACUGGGCGUAAAGCGCACGCAGGCGGUCUGUCAAGUCGGAUGUGAAAUCCCCGGACUCAACCUGGGAACUGCAUUCGAAACUGGCAGGCUAGAGUCUUGUAGAGGGGGGUAGAAUUCCAGGUGUAGCGGUGAAAUGCGUAGAGAUCUGGAGGAAUACCGGCGGCGAAGGCGGCCCCCUGGACAAAGACUGACGCUCAGGUGCGAAAGCGUGGGGAGCAAACAGGAUUAGAUACCCGAGUAGUC
rnacentral:rRNA from 1 species